UAGAGUUUGAUCCUGGCUCAGAUUGAACGCUGGCGGCAUGCCUUACACAUGCAAGUCGAACGGCAGCAUGAUCUAGCUUGCUAGAUUGAUGGCGAGUGGCGAACGGGUGAGUAAUACAUCGGAACGUGCCCUGUAGUGGGGGAUAACUAGUCGAAAGAUUAGCUAAUACCGCAUACGACCUGAGGGUGAAAGUGGGGGACCGCAAGGCCUCAUGCUAUAGGAGCGGCCGAUGUCUGAUUAGCUAGUUGGUGAGGUAAAGGCUCACCAAGGCGACGAUCAGUAGCUGGUCUGAGAGGACGAUCAGCCACACUGGGACUGAGACACGGCCCAGACUCCUACGGGAGGCAGCAGUGGGGAAUUUUGGACAAUGGGGGCAACCCUGAUCCAGCAAUGCCGCGUGUGUGAAGAAGGCCUUCGGGUUGUAAAGCACUUUUGUCCGGAAAGAAAUCGCACUUACUAAUAUUAGGUGUGGAUGACGGUACCGGAAGAAUAAGGACCGGCUAACUACGUGCCAGCAGCCCCGGUCAA
rnacentral:rRNA from 1 species